CUUGGAGGAAGGUCUCUUUCUGGCUGGGAUGGCAGCUGUGCCACUGGUUUGGGCCAGGAGAGUGGUUCUCUUCUGGCACAGCAGUGAGCAGCCCAGAGCCCUGCAGCAGCAGUUCUCAGAGUGGAAGUGUGACUCAGCAGUGCCACAAGGCACAGGUCAGUGCUCACAAUGUCCCCUCUCCCUUGGGGCUAAAGGCCUUAAGCAGGCUGUGCCAGGACAAGUCAAACCACAUCAGCAAAAGGACUUUGUCGAAAC
rnacentral:lncRNA from 12 species